rnacentral:rRNA from 1 species
CCUACGGGCUGCAGCAGUGAGGAAUAUUGGUCAAUGGGCGAGAGCCUGAACCAGCCAAGUCGCGUGAGGGAGUACUGCCCUAUGGGUUGUAAACCUCUUUUGUCGGGGAGCAAAAGCCGGACGUGUCCGGCUGUGAGAGUACCCGAAGAAAAAGCAUCGGCUAAAUCCGUGCCAGCAGCCGCGGUAAUACGGGGGAGGUGGGCGUUAUACGGAUUUUUUGGGUUUAAAGGGGACGCAGGCGGAUUUUUAAGUCAGCGGUCAAAUCGUGGGUCUAAACCCCGUCCAGCCGUUGAAACUGGGGAUCUAGAGUGUGCGAGAGGUAUGCGGAAUGCGUGGGGUAGCGGUGAAAUGCAGAGAUAUCACGCAGAACCCCGAUUGCGAAGGCAGCAUACCGGUGCACAACUGACGCUCAGGCACGAAAGCGUGGGUAUCGAACAGGAUUAGAUACCCUUGUAGUC